GGUAAGUUUCGGUUGGGUAUAUUUUGACCUUCUUUCGAAACCUGUCCCCGCUGUCCCCGCUGUGAAUAUGUGGACGAGAAAACAGGAAAGAAUGUGAGAAUUCCUUCAUUCGGCUACUGACGGAAAAGGCCGAAACACUGAAUGGGGAUUCCCCUUAUUCCGAGCAUUCAUUUUCCGAAGAAAGAGUUCGAUUGUUAUUACACAUUUCAGACAUUGUGACAUCUCUAGGACACAAUGCCAAAGACGAACCCAGGAGACUCUCAGAAAGGCAAGAACCGGGUUUCCUCCAGACAAGACACAGAUUCUCAAGAUGUUCAAGUGCUGGAAUCGAACCCAGGAGUGACGUCAGUCUCUAUAGGACGUUUGACUGAAAGUAUAACGUCACCAGUACUGCGGUCCCUAGUGACACCAGGUACUCCAAGUCUGGCCACUCCAAACACGUGUGUUGCCAGACAGGGAUCUGCACAACUAUGCAGCGCAAAUCCAGAUACUGCAAAUAUAGUUGAUGCAAACCAAGGCCAUUCAAAUCCAGAUACUGCAAACCAAGGCAUUGGAAGCUCAGAUACUGCAAAUAUAGGUACUGCAAUCUCAGGCACUUCAUAUAUGUCAGGAUUAGAAAAUGGUAAGUUUUCAAAGUAAUUUCUUUGUGGAGUUUAGGGGCAGUUUGUUACUCAUCCUGUUCCACAAAGGAACAGAAGUUAAUGAAGGAAACUAGUCAUUAGGAGUAGAGAGCAAGUAGAUUUUGAAUAAUAGAUUGUAGGAGGAAAGAGGUAAUCCUCGUUAAAAGAAGACCAAGUACAUGUUUCAGAUCAAGGGCAAGGUCAACAGACGAGGAGGAAAGACCUGCUAGUUACCUCUGUCUUUUGAAAAAUGAAAAUUUUAUUAUAAUAUAUAACUCAUUUUGUUUAUUUUUUAGGUUGUUGUUUUUUGUUUGUUUUUUGUUUUUGAUUUUUAGUAGUGGUGAUGAAGGUCUAGUUCAGCU